rnacentral:lncRNA from 1 species
UUCAUCGCCGGCCGCCGCUCAACCCCUUCACAGUUAAGUCAUGAGUGAUUCACAAAAUAAAGUGGGGAAAAAGAAGGGCAAAACCCUGGUAGGUUGUUUCAUUAAACAGGUUCCUUGAUUGCUAAUUUCAAAUAUGGAAUAAUAGGUCAUGUUCGUGUCUUAACAGGUCGUGUUCGGGUCUUAACACGUCGUGUUUGUGUCUUAAACAGGUCAUAUAAUAUGUUGGCAACAUUUUCGUGUCUUAACAGGUCAUUUCGUGUAACCUGUUUAUUA